UGUGAAGACAGAUGGAGUUUGUUGUCUGUACUGAGAAGAAGGAGUCAAUGCUGUGAGGAGAUGCCCAUGAGAAAUCACCAAGAAGGGCCUAAUCUGGAAGUCUUGGCCCAGACAAUGACUGCAGGAGCUGCACGUGGCCUCGGAGCAGCAGGUGAUAACAACUGGACACUCUUCACUGAAUAGCUGAUGCCUGAUCUAAGAGCAAUGUCAUCUGAACCUAUCCUAUAAAGGAAAAAAAAGCAAAAGAAGAUAUAGCACCAUACCACUGAGAAGUCUCCCUUAAAAACUGUCCAAGAGAGAAAUUCUAUCAUUACCCCUCCCUGAAUGAUUUUAAAUGCCCUACCAACAUGAAGACAAUUUUUCAUUUUGUUAGUCUAUGAAAUAAAAAGCUCCAAAACAUCCAGUAUCAGAACAA